GUACUUGCUAUGGCUGCACAUAUACUAAAAUUGGAUCAAUACAGAGAAGAUUAGCAUGGCCCCUGCGAAAGGAUGACAGGCAAAUCCAUAUUUUU
ensembl:snRNA U6 U6 spliceosomal RNA